rfam:Citrus clementina cultivar Clemenules unplaced genomic scaffold scaffold_4, whole genome shotgun sequence.
AAUGGUGUGAGGGAGCUUCCUUCAGCCCACUCAUGGAUGGGAAAAAGGGGACGAACUAGCUGCCGACUCAUUCAUUCAAGCACUCAGUAGACGUGCUUUUUUUGUCGCUACUGUGAUUGUGUGAAUGAUGCGGGAGAUAAUUUCCCUCCUCUCUUUUUCUGUGCUUGGACUGAAGGGAGCUCCUUCGUUCUAUUCC